UGGGCAAUGGGCGAAAGCCUGACCCAGCAACGCCGCGUGAGGGAUGAAGUAUUUCGGUAUGUAAACCUCGAAAGAAUGGGAAGAAUAAAUGACGGUACCAUUUAUAAGCUCCGGCUAACUACGUGCCAGCAGCCGCGGUAAUACGUAGGGAGCAAGCGUUGUUCGGAUUUACUGGGCGUAAAGGGCGCGUAGGCGGCGCGGUAAGUCACUUGUGAAAUCUCUGAGCUUAACUCAGAACGGCCAAGUGAUACUGCUGUGCUAGAGUGCGGAAGAGGCAACCGGAAUUCUUGGUGUAGCGGUGAAAUGCGUAGAUAUCAAGAGGAACACCUGAGGCGAAGGCGGGUUGCUGGGCCGACACUUACGCUGAUGCGCGAAAGCCA
rnacentral:rRNA from 1 species